rnacentral:tRNA from 1 species
GGGCGAAUAGCUCAGCGGGAGAGCAUCUGCCUUACACGCAGGCGGUCGCAGGUUCAAAUCCUGCUUCGCCCACCA